rnacentral:misc_RNA from 1 species
CACCACUCAAGCCUCGCUUGGUAUUGGAGGACGCGGUCCGCCGCGCCUCUCGAAUCGACCGGCUGAGUUCACCGUCUCUUAGCGUUGUGGAAAACUAUUCGCUUGUGAGAUCCGGUGACGCUCACGCCGUUAAACACCUUUCUCAGG